GACGAACGCUGGCGGCGUGCUUAACACAUGCAAGUCGAACGAAGUGGCGAACGGGUGAGUAACGCGUAAUCAACCUGCCCUUCAGAGGGGGACAACAGUUGGAAACGACUGCUAAUCCCGCAUACAGAAGGAGGGGAUUGCGGCUGAGUAUCUAGUUGGAUGGGUAACGGACCACCAAGGCGAUGAUCCGUAGCCGGUCUGAGAGGAUGAACGGCCACAUGGGGACUGAGACACGGCCCAGACUCCUACGGGAGGCAGCAGUGGGGAAUCUUCCGCAAUGGACGAAAGUCUGACUGAGCAACGCCGCGUGAGUGAUGACGGCCUUCGGGUUGUAAAGCUCUGUUGUAAGGGAAGCGGUAUCUUACCAGAAAGCCACGGCUAACUACGUGCCAGCAGCCGCGGUAAUUC
rnacentral:rRNA from 1 species